UACAGAGGGUGCGAGCGUUGUUCGGAAUUAUUGGGCGUAAAGCGCUUGUAGGCGGCCUGUCAAGUCGCGUGUGAAAUCCCCAGGCUUAACCUGGGAAGUGCGCGCGAAACUGACGAGCUUGAGUGCCGGAGAGGGUCGCGGAAUUCCCGGUGUAGAGGUGAAAUUCGUAGAUAUCAGGAGGAACACCAGUGGCGAAGGCGGCGACCUGGACAGACACUGACGCUGAGGCGCGAAAGCGUGGGGAGCAAACGGG
rnacentral:rRNA from 1 species